rnacentral:tRNA from 1 species
GGCUCGGUAGGCAACUGGCAGACCACCUUGUUUCAGACACAGGGAUGCUGUGGGUUCGAAUCCCACCCGAGCUA